rnacentral:rRNA from 1 species
UCUGAUCCAGCCAUGCCGCGUGCAGGAAGAAUGCCCUAUGGGUAGUAAACUGCUUUUAUACGGGAAGAAAAAGAGCUACGUGUAGCUUACUGACGGUACCGUAAGAAUAAGGACCGGCUAACUCCGUGCCAGCAGCCGCGGUAAUACGGAGGGUCCGAGCGUUAUCCGGAAUUAUUGGGUUUAAAGGGUCCGUAGGCGGGCCGAUAAGUCAGGGGUGAAAGUCUGCCGCUCAACGGUAGAACUGCCUUUGAUACUGUCGGUCUUGAGUUAUAGUGAAGUUGCCGGAAUAUGUAGUGUAGCGGUGAAAUGCAUAGAUAUUACAUAGAACACCGAUGGCGAAGGCAGGUGACUAACUAUAUACUGACGCUGAUGGACGAAAGCGUGGGGAGCGAACAGGAUUAGAUACCCUGGUAGUCCACGCCGUAAACGAUGGAUACUAGCUGUCCGGAACCUUGAGUUCUGGGCGGCCAAGCGAAAGUGAUAAGUAUCCCACCUGGGGAGUACGUUCGCAAGAAUGAAACUCAAAUG